GCUCAGGAUGAACGCUGGCGGCGUGCUUAACACAUGCAAGUCGAACGAAGCACUUUAAUUGAUUUCUUCGGAUUGAAAUUUUAGUGACUGAGUGGCGGACGGGUGAGUAACGCGUGGGUAACCUGCCUCACACAGGGGGAUAACAGUUGGAAACGGCUGCUAAUACCGCAUAAGCGCACAGUACCGCAUGGUACGGUGUGAAAAACUCCGGUGGUGUGAGAUGGACCCGCGUCUGAUUAGCUAGUUGGCAGGGCAACGGCCUACCAAGGCGACGAUCAGUAGCCGACCUGAGAGGGUGACCGGCCACAUUGGGACUGAGACACGGCCCAAACUCCUACGGGAGGCAGCAGUA
rnacentral:rRNA from 1 species